UACGUAGGGGUCGAGCGUUGUCCGGACUUACUGGGCGUAAAGCGUGGGUAGGUGGCCACUGAUGUGCCGUGUGAAAGCGCCGCGCUUCUCGCGGCGAGGUCGCGGUAGACACAGUGGCUCGAGGCACGGAGAGGGGCGUAGAAUUCCCGGUGUAGUGGUGAAAUGCGUAGAUAUCGGGAGGAACACCUGCGGUGUAGACGGCUUACUGGACCGUGACUGACGCUGAGGCACGAAAGCGUGGGUAGCAAACAGG
rnacentral:rRNA from 1 species